GACGAACGCUGGCGGCGUGCUUAACACAUGCAAGUCGAACGGUGAAGCGCCUUCCUUUUUGGUGGGUGUGGAUGAGUGGCGAACGGGUGAGUAACACGUGAGUAACCUGCCCCCUUCUUCUGGAUAACCGCAUGAAAGUGUGGCUAAUACGGGAUAUUCUGGGUCUGUCGCAUGAUGGGUCUGGGAAAGAUAUUGUUUCGGUGGGGGAUGGGCUCGCGGCCUAUCAGCUUGUUGGUGGGGUGAUGGCCUACCAAGGCGGUGACGGGUAGCCGGCCUGAGAGGGUGGACGGUCAGACGGGGAAGGAGACACGGCCCGGACACGGACGGGGGGCAGCAGCGGGGAGGGUUGCGCAAUGCGGGGAGGCCUGAUGCAGCGACGCCGCGUGAGGGAUGGAGGCCCGCGGGUUGUGAAGCUCUUUCGAGAGUGAAGCGGAGCGGCCUCGUUUGUGGGUGGGUUGACGGUAGCUGGAUAAGAAGCGACGGCUAACUACGGG
rnacentral:rRNA from 1 species